UACGUAGGGUGCAAGCGUUGUCCGGAAUUAUUGGGCGUAAAGAGCUCGUAGGCGGUCUGUCGCGUCUGCUGUGAAAACUCGGGGCUUAACCCCGGGCCUGCAGUGGGUACGGGCAGACUAGAGUGCGGUAGGGGAGACUGGAAUUCCUGGUGUAGCGGUGAAAUGCGCAGAUAUCAGGAGGAACACCGGUGGCGAAGGCGGCAUCCUGGACCGGUAUUGACGCUGAGGCGCGAAAGCUAGGGGAGCAAACGGG
rnacentral:rRNA from 1 species